GGCGUCCGUUUGUUUAGUUUUUUCAAGUUUUUUCGUAGAAUUAUUUUAUCGCGAGAUGAAUUUCGGAUAUUUUAUGACAAUUUCUUUGAUUUAAUUACGUUUAAUGUGUUAAUUAAUGGAUAAUAUCGAGUAAAAUACGUCGUUGGUGUGUUAUAGAUGUUUAAUCGUUCGGUUCAACGAAGGAUUCCGAAGAUUCUGUGAUUGAAAGUUCCAGCGUUUUACAGAGUCGAAGUUGAGCUGUAUAGCUGCUCGAACGUUGAACAGAAAGUUGAGUCUGUAGGAGUAAGUCGUCGAAGAGUCGAAGACUAUCAUUCCGGCAAGUGUUUCGUUUCAUCUUCCAGUCCCGAAUCAUCGUUAUGAUAAUGAAAGUGAUGUUUCCCUAUCUCUCUGUCCUGAAGCCAGCAUUGAUUUGAAUAAUCUCACUUUCGCUGUAUAAGUCUCGUUUACACGGAGAACGUGAAUUAUUCAUCGGAGCUGUUAUACGAGUAUACGACGAGAAUCGAUUGCCGGAAUGGAAAUUGUAGAUAUGAUUUGGUGCGAGUUACGGCGUAUCGAUGAUCGGUCGAAAAAAGUAUAAGUACCUGGAUUUUUGGGUUCCUGUCGCAUCUUCGAUCACAACGAUUCUUCGUCUAAGGAAUGAGAAAAUAUGAUGAUAAAUGAACUUCAACUCGAUAAUAUGAAGACAUCAUUCGGUGGAUUGUCGCUGACGUCAUCGUUUCGUCGUUUUUCUACUAUCAG